GAUUGCCCCUAGUACGGCGAGUGAAGCGGCAACAGCUCAAUUUGAAAGCUGGCCUUCGGGUCCGCAUUGUAAUUUGUAGAGGAUGCUUUGGGGCAGCCGCCUGUCUAAGUUCCUUGGAACAGGACGUCAUAGAGGGUGAGAAUCCCGUAUGUGACAGGACAUGGCACCCUAUGUAAAGCUCCUUCGACGAGUCGAGUUGUUUGGGAAUGCAGCUCUAAAUGGGAGGUAAAUUUCUUCUAAAGCUAAAUACCGGCGAGAGACCGAUAGCGCACAAGUAGAGUGAUCGAAAGAUGAAAAGCACUUUGGAAAGAGAGUUAAAAAGCACGUGAAAUUGUUGAAAGGGAAGCGCUUGCAAUCAGACUUGUUUUGACUGUUCGGCCGGUCUUCUGACCGGUUUACUCAGUCUGGACAGGCCAGCAUCAGUUUUGGCGGCCGGAUAAAGGCUCAGGGAAUGUGGCUCUCACUUCGGUGGGAGUGUUAUAGCCCUGGGUGUAAUACGGCCAGCCGGGACUGAGGUCCGCGCUUCGGCUAGGAUGCUGGCGUAAUGGUUGUAAGCGACCCGUCUGA
rnacentral:rRNA from 1 species